rnacentral:rRNA from 1 species
UACGUAGGUGGCAAGCGUUGUCCGGAAUUAUUGGGCGUAAAGCGCGCGCAGGCGGUCCUUUAAGUCUGAUGUGAAAGCCCACGGCUCAACCGUGGAGGGUCAUUGGAAAACUGGGGGGACUUGAGUGCAGGAGAGAAGAGUGGAAUUCCACGUGUAGCGGUGAAAUGCGUAGAGAUGUGGAGGAACACCAGUGGCGAAGGCGACUCUUUGGCCUG